rnacentral:tRNA from 1 species
UCUAAUAUGACAGAUUUUAUGUAAUGGAUUUAAACCCCAUCAAUAAAGGAAUUAUAAAUCCUUUUUUUAGAA